GCCGGGAUAGCUCAGUUGGU
rnacentral:tRNA from 10 species